ACUCCCUCUAUACCAAAAGCUUCCUCUAGAAUACGUAAGCACAACUUUGCUAUUGCAGUCUACAUGCAUGAUCAUUUAACUCACAAAAUAGAUGCAAGUGGAUUUGUCAAAGUUGGCACAAAGAUACUCAGGUGGGUAACUAAGAGGUAUUUACUAUUUCAGUAGCAGACCAUGACAAGCAUUAGAGUAAAGGUAUGAGAAACAGUACUUGUGACUGGCAUACAUUGAUUUAUUUUUAAUUCAAUAGUUAACCCUCUAUUUUGCAUUAACUUUUAAGGGUUUUUUUUUCCUUUGUUUUUGCGAUCUUCAGUUAGGAACCACAAGAAGAUACAUACACUUAAGAGUUGGGGCAAUAGAACAAAGAAUACUGAAAACGUUAAUAACCCACUUUACAAGAUGUUUUGGUCAGGUUUUUUAAGCUAACUAAUGACUUUCAUAGGAGAAAUGACACAUUAGCUCUUAUAUUUAAUUUCAGUGCCAAAUAAUGUACUUAAGUAAUUUAUCACUUGCCAGACAGGAAAAUAGAAAUAAUUCAGCCAAUAGAUUAUCAGAGAAA